rnacentral:rRNA from 1 species
UACGGCGGGUGCAAGCGUUAUCCGGAUUCACUGGGUUUAAAGGGUGCGUAGGUGGGCAGGUAAGUCAGUGGUGAAAUCUCCGGGCUUAACUCGGAAACUGCCAUUGAUACUAUCUGUCUUGAAUACCGUGGAGGUUAGCGGAAUAUGUCAUGUAGCGGUGAAAUGCUUAGAUAUGACAUAGAACACCAAUUGCGAAGGCAGCUGGCUACACGAAUAUUGACACUGAUGCACGAAAGCGUGGGGAUCAAACAGG